rnacentral:rRNA from 1 species
UACGUAGGGGGGCAAGCGUUGUCCGGAUUUAUUGGGCGUAAAGAGCGUGUAGGCGGCCUGACAGGUCUGCUGUGAAAACUCGAGGCUCAACCUCGAGAUGUCGGCGGAAACCGUCUGGCUAGAGUCCGGAAGAGGAGAGUGGAAUUCCUGGUGUAGCGGUGAAAUGCGCAGAUAUCAGGAGGAACACCGAUGGCGAAGGCAGGUCUCUGGGCCACUACUGACGCUGAGAAGCGAAAGCAUGGGGAGCGAACAGG